UACGAGGGGGGCGAGCGUUGUUCGGAAUUACUGGGCGUAAAGGGCUCGUAGGCGGCCAACUAAGUCAGACGUGAAAUCCCCAGGCUUAACCUGGGAACUGCGUCUGAUACUGGAUGGCUUGAAUUCGGGAGAGGGAUGCAGAAUUCCAGGUGUAGCGGUGAAAUGCGUAGAUAUCUGGAGGAAUACCGGUGGCGAAGGCGGCAUCCUGGACCGAGAUUGACGCUGAUGAGCGAAAGCUAGGGGAGCAAACGGG
rnacentral:rRNA from 1 species